rnacentral:rRNA from 1 species
GAUGAACGCUGGCGGCGUGCUUAACACAUGCAAGUCGAACGGUCAAGCCAAGCUUGCUUGGUGGAUCAGUGGCGAACGGGUGAGUAACACGUGAGCAACCUGCCCUGGACUCUGGGAUAAGCGCUGGAAACGGCGUCUAGUACUGGAUAUGAGCCUCUUCCGCAUGGUGGGGGUUGGAAAGAUUUUUUGGUCUGGGAUGGGCUCGCGGCCUAUCAGCUUGUUGGUGAGGUAAUGGCUCACCAAGGCGUCGACGGGUAGCCGGCCUGAGAGGGUGACCGGCCACACUGGGACUGAGACACGGCCCAGACUCCUACGGGAGGCAGCAGUGGGGAAUAUUGCACAAUGGGCGAAAGCCUGAUGCAGCAACGCCGCGUGAGGGAUGACGGCCUUCGGGUUGUAAACCUCUUUUAGCAGGGAAGAAGCGAAAGUGACGGUACCUGCAGAAAAAGCGCCGGCUAACUACGUG